rnacentral:rRNA from 1 species
UUUAAUUCGAAGCAACGCGAAGAACCUUACCAGGUCUUGACAUCCUCUGACAACCCUAGAGAUAGGGCUUCUCCUUCGGGAGCAGAGUGACAGGUGGUGCAUGGUUGUCGUCAGCUCGUGUCGUGAGAUGUUGGGUUAAGUCCCGCAACGAGCGCAACCCUUGAUCUUAGUUGCCAUCAUUUAGUUGGGCACUCUAAGGUGACUGCCGGUGACAAACCGGAGGAAGGUGGGGAUGACGUCAAAUCAUCAUGCCCCUUAUGACCUGGGCUACACACGUGCUACAAUGGACGGUACAAAGAGCCGCAAGACCGCGAGGUGGAGCUAAUCUCAUAAAACCGUUCUCAGUUCGGAUUGUAGGCUGCAACUCGCCUACAUGAAGCUGGAAUCGCUAGUAAUCGCGGAUCAGCAUGCCG